ACUUUAAUACAUUUAAAUUGUUUUUAAUUGUUUAAAACGCGGCAAGGAUGUGCUAAAGGUGCUCCGUCUUCCCCAACCCUACUAUAUUAUUUAUUUUACGCGGGUGAGAUUGAAGAGUUAUGUAAAUAUUUAUGUUUGAAUAAUAUAUUACACUCUUGGUUUAUUCACGCGUUGGUAAAUAAGGUAUGUAUUGAUAUUAGGAGUGUAUGUAUAUCUGGAACUGGGUACAUACCACUAGAUAUAUGUAUGUAUGUUAUUUAUUUAAAAUACACAAACAAAUUUGGAACAUAAGUUUAAAAUAUAUUCCACUUAAGAGUUAAUUUUUACUACCGCAUGGUGCUGCUACAGAGACCAGGUCUGUCGCGACUCAAAAUCGACUAUCGCCACAGCUGACUCAACACGUGACACAAUAACCGUACUGUGACGUAACAACGCAGGCAACAUAAGGUCACGCGAGUGUUUCAACAUUGCGCGCAAACAACAUCGGUUUGUGGGCGGAGUUUUUCUUUUGUCUUUUCUUCCAUUCUCUCGGGAGGGCGGGAGUGCUUUGAAUUGUCGCGCGCCUUUUUCUCGCCUCUCUUGUUUUCGCGCGCGAGAGAGGCCGAUAUUUGAAUUGAAAAGCAGCGCCAAAAUAAGCGCGUAUUUGUUUGCGCGGCUGGCUAUUUCGAAAUGUUGUUCAACUUUGGCGCUCGGACAAUUUUGCGCAACUUUUAACGGUCCAGAAAAAUGACCGCGCACUGCCUGUUUCAUGGGAAAUCGCUUUUCCGCAAUCUAUUUUAAUACUUAUCUUAUUGUAAUACAAUGUAACAGUGCCUAUGUAAUAAUAAAGUUCCACCAUUAAUACUAAUAUAGUUAAGUUCAAUUAAACACCUUACUACACAAACCAGCAGUCAAUUUUGAGCUACCAAUUAGUAAAUAUUGACACCACAGAAUUACCCAUUACCACACCGAUAUAUAAAACACAACAUUCAACA